CCUACGGGAGGCAGCAGUAGGGAAUCUUCGGCAAUGGACGGAAGUCUGACCGAGCAACACCGCGUGAGUGAAGAAGGUUUUCGGAUCGUAAAGCUCUGUUGUAAGAGAAGAACGAGUGUGAGAGUGGAAAGUUCACACUGUGACGGUAUCUUACCAGAAAGGGGCGGCUAACUACGUGCCAGCAGCCGCGGUAAUACGUAGGUCCCGAGCGUUGUCCGGAUUUAUUGGGCGUAAAGCGAGCGCAGGCGGUUAGAUAAGUCUGAAGUUAAAGGCUGUGGCUUAACCAUAGUACGCUUUGGAAACUGUUUAACUUGAGUGCAAGAGGGGAGAGUGGAAUUCCAUGUGUAGCGGUGAAAUGCGUAGAUAUAUGGAGGAACACCGGUGGCGAAAGCGGCUCUCUGGCUUGUAACUGACGCUGAGGCUCGAAAGCGUGGGGAGCAAACAGGAUUAGAUACCCUGGUAGUCCACGCCGUAAACGAUGAGUGCUAAGUGUUGGUCUCAUAAGAGAUCAGUGCUGCAGCUAACGCAUUAAGCACUCCGCCUGGGGAGUACGACCGCAAGGUUGAAACUCAAAGGAAUUGACGG
rnacentral:rRNA from 1 species